GCAUUAAUGGGGUAGUGGUAACCUGGGUCGUUGCCAUUCGAGUCUGUCUCGACCCGCCGGGGGUUCGAUUCCCCCUUAAUGCA